AGCCCACUAAUAUUAAAACCAGACUUUUCAGCACAUGCAAACUCAUGAAGUAAGGUUUUUGAUGCGGAACACCAAGCAGUGGAUAGAAGGGACCGUCUUGGACGUGUCAAGUAUGAUUAAAGCAUGGCCAAGUCUUGCUCUUAAUUCAAUACAGCUUUUUGUGCUGAUUCGCUCUGAUCGGAAUGUGAGCUAUUUAAAGUGGAACCUCGUAAUGAUCUCUUGUCCAUCCAGUUACGAGUAUCUCUCAUUCUUUCUUUCUCUUUCUUUCUUUCUUUCUUUCUUACGUUCGUUCAGUCUCUCUCUCUGUCGCUCUGUCUCUACUGGGUUUAUCCAUCGUUCCCGUCCAAGAAAUGUCGUUCGCGUUUUGAAAAGCCAUGCUUCAACCCCUCUCGCAAUACUCAGGUUGCCAUGGACCAGUCGUAUUACAUCGUCAGCCAUUGUAUUCGUUAUGUGAGGAAAACGUCCCUGAGAAUUGACGAGUAUUGACUGUAAAAUGAGGGGAGGUGAUUUGGACCAGUUCGGUUACAAUGGUCAAUGAAAGAUGGUUUUGAAUGGCUCACAGAUCUCUUCGGAAUACCUGGACACCGUCCGAAGAGUACAUAUCCGACUACAAAAGCGAAGAAAGGUGGGGUGUUCUAGGAAUCCAAGUGAGUAGAAACUCUGCUAAAUCGCUGCAACAAAGGGGUUUCAUGGACCCUAAAACAGAUCGGGAAGCCAACUUCAGCUAACUUUCAAGUUGUCGAAUGAUUAUUGUAUGGAAUGGACAUCUUGAUCCCAUGGCCCAUGAUUGGUAAUGCGCUAAGACGAAGGAUUCGGGUGUUUUAUGUAGAUCAAAACCCAAGGCCUCUGUGGAUUGUGGUCGGUUGGUGAGCUUAUCGGAACCCAGUUCUGCAGAAUCGAUUCGGAUGAGCAAGAAUGUUAGAUAUGAGUGUCACCUAACUGAUCCACAUUGUCGGCAUAUCUAAGGAACCCCGGGAAAAACCGUUCGCUAAAAUGAAUGUCACCUCGUCGGGGUUGGACGUUAAUGAUGACAUUAUGGGUUCAAACGGGUCUUUCGGGCUUUUUUCGUUAGCCGAUCCUUUUGUUCUGCGUGUCAAAAGCUGCGUGAGAAAAAUGGACUCACAAAUAUCACCUGGAAAACACUUCUCAAGUGUUAUCUUUACUUUCGUUGUCGAGUGAGCACCCACUCUUCUCGUUCUUUUUUUUGUUUUCAGGUGGAAAAUGCUCAAGAGCUCGUGCCCAUCUCAUGAUUUCCCUUCAAAUAUUUUUCAUGCAUUCAAAAUGAGAAUAUCUUUCCUCUCCCCUUUCCAUCCCAAUUACACCUGUAUUCAUCAAGGAUUGUUCAAAACCAUACCUUUUAUUGCAAACUUGGACCUCUUUUCUCUUAGGUGCGAUACAGUUAAAUAAGUUUUCGCUCAUGGAUGUAAAUUACACGAGUAUACUUCCUGGCAG